UAAGUUUAUAUAUAGAUAGCUAUUAAAUACAUUUGACACUAUAAGGAGCUCUCUCUGCUUCUCUCCAUAGAGAGAGGAACAUUUGUGAGACAGUACACUAAUAUGGGGUCAAUGUUUUAAAUGCAGAUUUCAGCUACAGAAGCUACACCAGUGACAACUAUGAAUAUGGAUAUGACAACAAGCUUGGAAUUACAAGGUUGACAUCAAUGGCUGUAUUAAUAUGAGACAAGAUGGAAACGUAGAUGGCAUGCAAGAGGGUAACCUGCUACUUCUUUCACAUGAUUUUGAAUUGGUCAGAGCUCCACAAAAUCUGCUCCAACUGAUGCCAAUGGCAGAAUGCCUCUUGAUGCUCAUGGGAGCUGCACUGGACCAGCCUUGUAUCCUUUCCACACGCUUACUGUUUUUCAGGUUUCCCUGGCCAAAAAUGCUGCAUCACUCUGCACAUCUUAAUUCUGUUAAUAAAAAAACCUUUUACCCAUGAAUUUGAAGAACUUUGCAAGUCUGCAUAAAUAUAUUUAUGAAAGUUUGACUGCAGAUUAUAUAAAGAUUCCUCCAUUUUGACACAAAUCAAAUUAAUCCUCUUUGAAUCUUCACUGAAAUGGUGAUGCUAGGCUAAAUAAAUCUCUUUGAAUUCUCA
rnacentral:lncRNA from 1 species